UGAAAGUACGGAAGCUGUUAGGCUGGCUGCUAGAAGCAUAGGCUCAGUCUCCCCCACAGACGCUCCUGAGAUGUAGCUGGCUGCUGUCUGGCAACUCUGCUUGGUGCAGCCUUUGGUGACACAUAUGGGUUCAAAGAUGUCUGAUGGCUGAGCUAACUGUCCAAGUAUGAUAUUUAAAGUAACUUCUUGGGACUGCUAACAGAUUACACAGUGACAUGGAUUGCGCACAGAACGAUCCAAUUUGUCUUGAGCUGGUGAAGAAAAGGAAGGUCUGAUGAAAACUGCAUAUCUGGUUACAUUCACAUUAAUGAAACGAUGGAACAUAAAAUUUUGAAGUCAGGAAGACUGAAAGAGUAUUUUACAUCUGUCCAUCCAGAAAAUACAUACAAAGAAAAUGAAGUGUUUUGUGUGUAUGUGGAGAAGAAAGCUCAAUUUGAAAAAGCUAGGACAGUUCAAAAAUGUGCACUUGCCAUUUCAUGAAAACCUUUUCUGGAAGCAUUCUUGAAGUUUCAACAUGAGCAUUUCAUGUAGUUUUCACUGCUGCAUUUCACACAGGCAUAUUCUGGCUUUUCCAAAUAUACUGAGAGAAGUUUUUUCAAUGGUCUUAGAGUCAUCAACUUUAAUCAAAAGCCGGUCCCUGAGUCAUAGUAUUUUUAUAGGUUUUGUCAAGAAAUGGUAGCAGAAAACCAAGGGCUUCUCUACCACAGAGAAGCUCACUGACAUUCAAGAGGAAAGUUUCACUUUUUCCAAAAGAAAAAGAAAACCCAUUUUUGGAACUCUUUGAAAGAAAGAAUUUUGUCUGUGGGUUACCUGGCAGAUAUUUUUAACCACAUGAAUGACUCAAUUCAAGGCCAUGAUAUCACCAUUGCAAAUGCUUGUGAAAACAUUAUGAGCUUUCUUGGUUAAGCUGUUGAUAAGAGGCUGAUAUCUUUGCAAACUUUCAAAUGCUGAAGGAAGUGCUUUUUUUACCUUAAUGGAAUUGAGUUACAAAAUCCUGUCAAUUUAUUUGAAAAGAAUAAUCUACAAACACCUGGAAACACUUUAGAACUCUUGCAAAAGUGCUUUUUAUCUCAAUGGUAAAAAAGUUGAACCCUAGACUUGCAUUCUUUUUCUUUCUUAUAUAAACUGUAUCAAGGUGUUGAUCUAGUCAAAGAUGAAUUCAUUGAUCUUAGGACCAAAAAAACACUAUAACUGGAGUUUCACUAAAAAGCCUUGGAGAGUUUUGGUGCUCUCUCGGAGACACUUAACCUUUACUUUGUGAAGGAGCUGUGGAAGCUUUAGUUCUAUUUUCAACACUCAUACCUUUGAGGAUUGGAUUUUCAACAUUGUUUCCAUAAAAAUAUAUCAAGGUCAAUUGGAUUUCCAA